rnacentral:rRNA from 1 species
UACGGAGGGUGCGAGCGUUGUCCGGAAUCAUUGGGCGUAAAGGGCGCGUAGGUGGCCCGGUCAGUCUUUGGUGAAAGCGCGGGGCUCAACCCUGCGUCGGCCAGGGGAUACUGCCGCGGCUCGAGCACUGUAGAGGCAGGCGGAAUUCCGGGGUGUAGCGGUGGAAUGCGUAGAGAUCCGGAAGAACACCGGUGGCGAAGGCGGCCUGCUGGGCAGUUUU